UACGUAGGGGGCAAGCGUUGUCCGGAUUUAUUGGGCGUAAAGAGCGUGUAGGCGGCUUUACAGGUCCGUUGUGAAAACUCGAGGCUCAACCUCGAGACGCCGGUGGAAACCGUAAGGCUAGAGUCCGGAAGAGGAGAGUGGAAUUCCGGGUGUAGCGGUGAAAUGCGUAGAUAUCCGGAGGAACACCGGUGGCGAAGGCGGCUUCCUGGACCGACACUGACGCUGAGGCGCGAAAGCUAGGGGAGCAAACGGG
rnacentral:rRNA from 1 species